rnacentral:rRNA from 1 species
GACGAACGCUGGCGGCGUGCUUAACACAUGCAAGUCGAACGGAAAGGCUCCAGCUUGCUGGAGUACUCGAGUGGCGAACGGGUGAGUAACACGUGGGUAAUCUGCCCUGCACUCUGGGAUAAGCCCGGGAAACUGGGUCUAAUACUGGAUAUGACCUUUCUCCUUAUGGGGUUUGGUGGAAAGUUUUUCGGUGUAGGAUGAGCCCGCGGCCUAUCAGCUUGUUGGUGGGGUGAUGGCCUACCAAGGCGACGACGGGUAGCCGGCCUGAGAGGGUGAUCGGCCACAUUGGGACUGAGAUACGGCCCAGACUCCUACGGGAGGCAGCAGUGGGGAAUAUUGCACAAUGGGCGGAAGCCUGAUGCAGCGACGCCGCGUGAGGGAUGACGGCCUUCGGGUUGUAAACCUCUUUCAGCAGGGACGAAGCGUAAGUGACGGUACCUGCAGAAGAAGCACCGGCUAACUACGUG